rnacentral:tRNA from 1 species
UUAAAAAUAAGCUAAAUAAAGCUUUUGGGUUCAUACCCCAACUAUAAAGGUUUCCCUUUUUUUUAA